CGCUGCCAAAAAGAGGAUUCCCAAUAAUCCAGCAUUGAAACAUCCGGAAGUGCAGUCAGAGCAUAGAAGAAUUUCAAACAAACUUGAAGAUCGUUUCGAAGCGCAUGUUAACCGACCAAAGCCAGGUGGAUGUGGAAGCUCGAAUAACGGAAAUCUUGCUCGCCUUCUACUCUCCGAUCCUACAGCGUUUUCUGAUAUUUUGGGAAUAAAUAGAAAAUUGGUGGAAAAUUUAAGAAAAAUAAGCAGUUUGGCACUCUCAUCGCAAAGGCUCGAACCCGAGAAAGUUAAAAUUUUAUACGAGGAGUUAGAAAAAAACAUACUGACAGAAUUCCCUUUUAUAAAAAAGUUGCCACCUUGCUUGCAUAAGUACAAACACUUAUCGGAGUACAUCACCAAAUUGCCUUACACUAUGAAUUUUGUUGAUGAGCAGGCAGGUGAACGCAUGCACAAACGGCAUAAUUUUUCGAGGCCUAACCUAGCCCGAAAAACAACUCCGGAAGAUAACAUGUACGAUAUAAUGGUUGCAGCUUUGGCGUGGUCUGACAUCAAAAUAUCGUACACUACGUUUAAAAAA
rnacentral:lncRNA from 1 species